rnacentral:rRNA from 1 species
GAUGAACGCUGGCGGCGUGCCUAAUACAUGCAAGUCGAGCGAACAGACGAGGAGCUUGCUCCUCUGACGUUAGCGGCGGACGGGUGAGUAACACGUGGAUAACCUACCUAUAAGACUGGGAUAACUUCGGGAAACCGGAGCUAAUACCGGAUAACAUGUUGAACCGCAUGGUUCAACAGUGAAAGACGGUUUUGCUGUCACUUAUAGAUGGAUCCGCGUCGCAUUAGCUAGUUGGUAAGGUAACGGCUUACCAAGGCAACGAUGCGUAGCCGACCUGAGAGGGUGAUCGGCCACACUGGAACUGAGACACGGUCCAGACUCCUACGGGAGGCAGCAGUAGGGAAUCUUCCGCAAUGGGCGAAAGCCUGACGGAGCAACGCCGCGUGAGUGAAGAAGAUCUUCGGAUCGUAAAACUCUGUUAUUAGGGAAGAACAAAUGUGUAAGUAACUAUGCACGUCUUGACGGUACCUAAUCAGAAAGCCACGGCUAACUACGUG